CCCCGUACACAAAAAUGCACAUGCUGUGAGCUCGAUGAGUAGGGCGGGACACGUGGUAUCCUGUCUGAAUAUGGGGGGACCAUCCUCCAAGGCUAAAUACUCCUGACUGACCGAUAGUGAACCAGUACCGUGAGGGAAAGGCGAAAAGAACCCCGGCGAGGGGAGUGAAAAAGAACCUGAAACCGUGUACGUACAAGCAGUGGGAGCACGCUUAGGCGUGUGACUGCGUACCUUUUGUAUAAUGGGUCAGCGACUUAUAUUCUGUAGCAAGGUUAACCGAAUAGGGGAGCCGAAGGGAAACCGAGUCUUAACUGGGCGUUAAGUUGCAGGGUAUAGACCCGAAACCCGGUGAUCUAGCCAUGGGCAGGUUGAAGGUUGGGUAACACUAACUGGAGGACCGAACCGACUAAUGUUGAAAAAUUAGCGGAUGACUUGUGGCUGGGGGUGAAAGGCCAAUCAAACCGGGAGAUAGCUGGUUCUCCCCGAAAGCUAUUUAGGUAGCGC
rnacentral:rRNA from 1 species